rnacentral:rRNA from 1 species
GACGAACGCUGGCGGCGUGCUUAACACAUGCAAGUCGAACGGUGAAGGGACCGGUUUUUGCUGGUUCUGGAUGAGUGGCGAACGGGUGAGUAACACGUGAGUAACCUGCCCCCUUCUUCUGGAUAACCGCAUGAAAGUGUGGCUAAUACGGGAUAUUCUGCGCCUGCUGCAUGGUGGGUGUGGGAAAGAUAUUGUUUCGGUGGGGGAUGGGCUCGCGGCCUAUCAGCUUGUUGGUGGGGUGAUGGCCUACCAAGGCGGUGACGGGUAGCCGGCCUGAGAGGGUGGACGGUCACACUGGGACUGAGACACGGCCCAGACUCCUACGGGAGGCAGCAGUGGGGAAUAUUGCACAAUGGGCGCAAGCCUGAUGCAGCGACGCCGCGUGAGGGAUGGAGGCCUUCGGGUUGUAAACCUCUUUCGCCAGUGAAGCAGGCCUGUCCCUUUUGUGGGUGGGUUGACGGUAGCUAGAUAAGAAGCGCCGGCUAACUACGUG